GACGAACGCUGGCGGCGUGCUUAACACAUGCAAGUCGAGCGGUAAGGCCCUUUCGGGGGUACACGAGCGGCGAACGGGUGAGUAACACGUGGGUGACCUGCCCUCAGCUCUGGGAUAAGCCUGGGAAACCGGGUCUAAUACCGGAUAUGACUCCAUGACGCAUGUUGUGGGGUGGAAAGCCUUGUGCGGCUGAGGAUGGGCCCGCGGCCUAUCAGCUUGUUGGUGAGGUAAUGGCUCACCAAGGCGU
rnacentral:rRNA from 1 species